rnacentral:snRNA from 1 species
CUAGCAGGUGAGAUACCACAAUCAAAAAGGUGGUUUGACCCCUGCGAUUUUCUCAGAACAAUUCUCCCACGGUGAGACCUAUCCAUUACACUCUAGGCAGACUGACCCCCCUGAGUUUCCCCAAAUACGGUUAACUUGGCUGCACCAUUUUGUGGCAGUGGGGGACCUGUGUCCAUACUUCCCCCAU